rnacentral:lncRNA from 1 species
UCGUCGAGCAUGUAAAAAGGUAACAAAGAAAAAUGCUGAGAAGUGAUACAUCAUUGUCAGUGUUAAGUUCAUACAAUGCAAAGUAAGAUGACCCCUAUUCAUGAUAUCAAGAGGACAUGCCUUCUAUACAACUAAUUAAUGUUUGGGCUGAAGGUACAAAACACAGGACAUGCACUCAAAUAGAAUUGGUAUCAAGAUAUUCAGAAGACAUGGAUCCAUCACUCGCUACUUGUUCAUUCACUUGCUCAUGAACUCGCUGGUCCGCCUGAAGCGACUAGAAGACAUGGAUCCAUCAAGGAAGAUUAGAGGAAGACCAUCGAAAGGAGGAUGCAUAAGGUAGUGGUAGCAGCACGUAGCCUUCUAAUCCAGCAUCGUUCAUAACAAGAUUUUUUUGUUGCGAGAGCAUAAAAAGCUGAUGUUGGAAGUUCCAGCGAGUGACUUUGCUAGCAAGAAUCGAGCAAGAGUGAACUAGCUUGUAGCAACACACAUAAGCAAUGAUAACUCGUGUGUAUUGUUCCUCCAUUGGUUAUUUUACAAUUGUAAACUCGGGAUAAUCUGUUCUUGCCUCUUCUCCAUAGAGAUUUUCUGCAAGUAAAUUGAUUUGACUGGUAAUAUUUAUGUUUCCGUUGCAACUCACGUGCAAUUAACUACCUUUUCUUUACAACAAAUUAAUUUUCUG